CAAAAAAAUACAGCUGUAAUAUUAAUAUAUAUUUUUUUUGAAACAGGUAUUUUUUUCUUAAAAGCUGUAAUACUAAUGUAUUUAAUAAUUUAACAAAAUAAAAAAUAAAAAAUAAUAAUAAAAAAAAAAGGUAAAUAAGGGUUUACACGAAACCCUAUCAGAUGCUAAACCAAAAAAUUAAGUCAUGCCGUUUCUUCUUCUCCCCUCAGGAAACGCUAGGACAGUACGAGUAGGCGUGAAAGUUCUCUUUCUUCUUCUCCUUCUUCGCUGCUGGUGACCAGCCAUCCUCCGGUGAACGACAUCGAAGCUCCGCCUCGUCUCUCCAGUGCAGGGAUCUCGGCGUCGUCUCCAGUCGAUUGGUUGUCGUCUCUCCCGCUCGUCAUCCACGAUUGCAAGGGAACGUCUGAGAGAUCGAUGUUCAAGAAAAAAUGGGUUUUGUUCGGAUUUUAAGAACUACAUAAUAUCAAUUUUGUUUCUUUCGAAGUAUUUUUUGGAUUUUAAAUUAGAAAAAACUGCAGUAAUAUAUUUAUUUCUUUGCAAUUUCACAGUAUAGGUAUGAAAUAGAUGAGAGGCUAAAUGAUGUGGACAAGUCAAUCUUGCUGUUUGCCUUAAAUUUUCACCCAGAAAAAGAUGGUAAAAUUGGUGUUGGAGCUCAAGACAUAAAGGUUGCAUAUCACAAGGAGCACGAGAAUAGUCGAUGCUUUAUGUUGGUAAGAGUCGAUGGUACUGUAGAAGAUUUUAUUUUUCAUACCGCAUACUUGGUGCUCUGGAGAUCAUUGACCCAAUGGCUGGGUUAUUUUUUUUCGGAUUUUUUAUUCAAAUUUACUCAUAAUUUUGGGUUUACAUUGUUGUAUUUUCUUUGAACUAAUUGUAUAUUCUUUUUGCUUCAAAUCAACAUACAUUAGAAAUAUUUUACUGUAA